rnacentral:tRNA from 5 species
CGGAGUGUAGCGCAGCCUGGUAGCGCACCUGCUUCGGGAGCAGGGGGUCGCAGGUUCGAAUCCUGCCACUCCGACCA